rnacentral:rRNA from 1 species
UUUAACUGAAGAGUUUGAUCAUGGCUCAGAUUGAACGCUGGCGGCAGGCUUAACACAUGCAAGUCGAGCGGGGGAARGUAGCUUGCUACUGGACCUAGCGGCGGACGGGUGAGUAAUGCUUAGGAAUCUGCCUAUUAGUGGGGGACAACAUCUCGAAAGGGAUGCUAAUACCGCAUACGUCCUACGGGAGAAAGCAGGGGAUCUUCGGACCUUGCGCUAAUAGAUGAGCCUAAGUCGGAUUAGCUAGUUGGUGGGGUAAAGGCCUACCAAGGCGA